rnacentral:rRNA from 1 species
CAACCUAACCUAUGGACGGGAAUAACCUCGGGAAACUGAGUAUAAUGCCCGAUAGAACACUAUAUCUGGAAUGGUUUGUGUUCCAAAUGAUUUAUCGCCGUAGGAUGGGACUGCGGCCUAUCAGUUUGUUGGUGAGGUAAUGGCCCACCAAGACUAUUACAGGUACGGGCUCUGAGAGGAGUAGCCCGGAGAUGGGUACUGAGACACGGACCCAGGCCCUAUGGGGCGCAGCAGGCGAGAAAACUUUGCAAUGUGCGAAAGCACGACAAGGUUAAUCCGAGUGGUUUCUGCUAAAGAAACCUUUUGUCGGUCCUAGAAACACCGAUGAAUAAGGGGUGGGCAAGUUCUGGUGUCAGCCGCCGCGGUAAAACCAGCACCUCAAGUGGUCAGGAUGAUUAUUGGGCCUAAAGCAUCCGUAGCCGGCUCUGUAAGUUUUCGGUUAAAUCUGUACGCUCAACGUACAGGCUGCCGGGAAUACUGCAGAGCUAGGGAGUGGGAGAGGUAGACGGUACUCGGUAGGAAGGGGUAAAAUCCUUUGAUCUAUUGAUGACCACCUGUGGCGAAGGCGGUCUACCAGAACACGUCCGACGGUGAGGGAUGAAAGCUGGGGGAGCAAACCGGAUUAGAUACCCGGGUAGUCCCAGCUGUAAACUAUGCAAACUCAGUGAUGCAUUGGCUUGUGGCCAAUGCAGUGCUGCAGGGAAGCCGUUAAGUUUGCCGCCUGGGAAGUACGUACGCAAGUAUGAAACUUAAAGGAAUUGGCGGGGGAGCACCACAAGGGGUGAAGCCUGCGGUUCAAUUGGAGUCAACGCCGGA